CGUUCCUCGAGAUACAUUCCUGUGGCUGGCUGGGUGCAGAGUGGGAGAGAGAGAGUGGUAAUGAGAGUGAGAGAGUGACAGCAUGAGAGACUGAGCAGUGGAAGACAAGAGAAGCGGUGGGAGGCGCGUCGUCGAGAUUCCCCGCAUCUCCCCGAUAACCUGAACAGCCAACCAAAAAGAUGUCAACAUAGCUCCCUCUCUCCAACCCAUCAUUCUGUUUCCAGGGCUACGGCUGCAAUCUGGCUACGCCUCAUGGUUUUUGGGCACAGGAUGGUGAAUACACGUCAUGGACCUGAACGCCAAGGAUCAAUCUGAUGGAGCUAAUGAGCCUCCACGGAUGAAGCGCUAGCUGAUCAAAGUCAGGACCCGGGAUGACCACUCCUUAUGCACCAGUCGGGGACGUCUCUGCGCCCCGACGUGUCUACAUUCAAGAUGAUCCCCUGCUGGCCCCACUACGGACUGGACUAUUAACUGUAUCCACUCGACAUCGAUCACCCACGGGGGGAUCCCCACAUCUGCGGUCCCUUACAUGGUUUCUCGUUGUUCCCAUUGGGUUAAGUUUUUUCGUGCCCUGAUGUGAGAUCUGAGCAGCGGAUGUUGUCGUGGCUUGUGCAGCCCUUUGAGACAUUUGUGAUUAAGGGCUCUAUAAGUAAACUUUGAUUGAAUGAUUGAUUGACAAAACACAUUUAAUAAAGAACUAGACCGGGGAUCAGCAACCCGAUGCAGCUCUUUAGCCCCGCCCUACUGGCUCCAUGGAGAACUUUUAAAAAAGGAUUGAAAAUGGAAAAAUAUGGGGGAAAAUUUUUUUUGUUUGUUUUAGUUUGUUUUUUGUUUCAGGACAAACAUGACACAAACCUUCCCAAUUGUGAGAAAGCCCACUGUUUAAUAUGUUUGUGUGUAUGCUUCACUGAUGAGAGUAUUUGGUGAACAUUGUUUUGUCCUACUAAUUUCGGUGGUUCUUGAACUCACUAUAGUGUGGACUGUGGCGCAACAGUUUGUUUACAUGUAAAAUCUUCCACUCCUUCUUUGUCUCAUUUUGUCCACCAAAAGUUUCAUGCUGUGCGUGAAUGCACAAAGGUGCCAUUUAUCCUUGUUAUUGACUUGUUGGAGUGUUAAUCACUAAUCUGCAAGCUAAUCAAUGCUAACAUGCUAUUUAGGCUAGCUGUAUGUACAUAUUGCAUCAUUAUGCCUCAUUUGUAGGUAUAUUUGAGCUCAUUUAAUAUCCUUUACUUUUAUCCUCUUUGUAUAUAAUUUAUUUUGCAUGUCUCAUGACACCAUGAGACAUGCCAUGAAUUGAUUAACGUGGACCCCGACUUAAACAAGUUGAAAAACUUAUUCGGGUGUUACCAUUUAGUGGUCAAUAUGUACUGUACUGUGCAAUCUACUCAUAAAAGUCUCAAUCAAUCAAUCAAAAACAUAUUAUCUGUAUGUAAUAUUGGCUGCAUUUCAAAUCGUUGUUUGUGUGCCAUGUUGUUCCAGACAACAGCAAACAUUACCUAGCUUGCCAAAGAUUGUAAUGCAUAUAUUUAAAAAAAACAGCCUGCCGUUUCCUUUAAC